rnacentral:rRNA from 1 species
CGCGUAGGCGGACUAUUAAGUCAGGGGUGAAAUCCCGGGGCUCAACCCCGGAACUGCCUUUGAUACUGGUAGUCUUGAGUUCGAGAGAGGUGAGUGGAAUUCCGAGUGUAGAGGUGAAAUUCGUAGAUAUUCGGAGGAACACCAGUGGCGAAGGCGGCUCACUGGCUCGAUACUGACGCUGAGGUGCGAAAGCGUGGGGAGCAAACA